rnacentral:rRNA from 1 species
CCCUUAGAUGUCCUGGGCCGCACGCGCGUUACACUGAUGCAUUCAACGAGCUUAUAACCUUGGCCGAGAGGCCUGGGCAAUCUUGUUAACGUGCAUCGUGAUAGGGAUAGAUUAUUGAAAUUAUUAAUCUUGAACGAGGAAUUCCCAGUAAGCGCGAGUCAUAAGCUCGCGUUGAUUACGUCCCUGCCCUUUGUACACACCGCCCGUCGCUACUACCGAUUGAACGGUUUAGUGAGGGCCUCGGAUUGGUCUCGGCCCGCUCUUUACCGGGCGGCGCCGUUGGUCGAGAAGACGCUCGAACUUGAUCGUUUAGAGGAAGUAAAAGUCGUAACA